UGAAGAUUUGUGUUUUGUGUGGUGUGUAGUAAGUGUCGCUGCUGCUCACUCUUUGGGUCUGCACUGUUUUUGUGAGCUGUAACACUCACGCCGAAUGUCUGUAGCGUCACUUCUGAAGUCAGCGAGACCAGGAACCAACCAGAAAGAAGAAACUCUGUGCACAUCAGAGCAUCAGGAGGAAUAAACUCCGCACACACUAUCUUUAAGAACUGUAACACUCAUCGGGAGGGUCCGCGGCUUCAUUCUUGAAGUGAGUGAGACGAAGAACCCACCAAUUCCGGACCCAGCAUGACUGCAUAAGAUACGUGGUGGUAAAGAUAGCAACCCUCCUCUCAGAAGAGAGCUGGCUCUGGACCUAGACAUCAUGAAGAACUGCAGUGUGGAUUGCAAAACACCAUCGCAUUCAGCUGCUGUCGGGGUCCAGUGAGAUCAUGUGUGUACAGCGCCAUCAAUCACAUGGUGAUGCUGAUGCUGCUGGUCUGAGAAGUACUGUUUACUACAAACCCAGGAGAAGUUCAGGAAGAAAUCAGAAUCCAGUGUGGAACCAUAACUAAAUUGAUGAACAGACUUCACAAAGGGGGAUAAGAGCUUAAGGCUAUCACCAUUCCACCAAAACUUUUGUAAGUGAGUUAGCACUGGAUGGAGAACAAGCCUGGCCGUUACAGGAGUACCUAAUCUAAUGGGGUCUGUCUUGGCCUGAAAUGGCAGAAGAAAUUAAUUCUAUGUUGAGUUUGGGUGAAAAUAAGGUAAAUCUUGAAGCUACUGAGCAGCAAAGUCAAAGUGUUUACCUUACACCUUUCUUUAAGUAUAUUUUGUUAAUUUUCUUUGCCAAAAGUGAAAAUAUAAAUGCCAGCUUAAAUUAGCAUCUUUUACUCAGGGCAAAAAGGCACUAUAUAAAGUUCCAGUAUCACUUCAGCUAGUAUUUUUUCCUCAUAUUUUUGUUGUUAAAGAUAAUGAAUACAUGGUUUCAAUUUCAAAAUUUUACAUGCAGCUAAUAGCAAGAGAAGGCACUUUAUUCAAGAUGUAGAAAACACAGUAGGCCAACAAACCUUCAGCCAUUUUACAUGCAGGAAGUUGAGCAUGUAAGAGAAAUUUACCAUAAUGUUAUCUCCUUCAAGGCGAGCUGAGUUUAGUUGCUUAAGUUCAUAGUAAGAGACAAAGAACACAUUAUACCAGUGAACACAGUGAAACAAAUUACUUCUGCACAAUAAAUAACACAUUAAACAAGUAAAAGAGCCAAUCAAAUAUUUUUUCUACUUAAAAAAACCCCACUACAUUUAUUGUUCUAUGAAACUGCAUAUAGUGGUGCCUAUUCAUUUUUUUCCCCAAUAUUCAAAUUUUCAAAACAAAAAAAUAUGUUGAUGCUUGACUUUAAAUGAGAAUCAUUUAGGGAAAAUGUAUCAUUUUUAAAACUGUCAGUUACCUACAAUUUUUAUUAAAUUUUCACUAAGAAAGUCCUUCUGCCUACCCCAAAUUUUCCUAUUCAAAGAUCAUUUCUAUUUUAUGAAUUUAUGAUGCCUUCAACCACAUUCUCUUUCAAUCAGCCUCAGCCAGGUCUUGGCAUACUCUGAAGUCUUAAAGGCAUGUCAAUCCUUGUAUUUCUAAUAAACCUUAAAUUCAAACA